UGCACAGUUUUUAUUUCACCUCCCGGCUUGAUUCCUGUUCUGUGUUUGUUACACACACACACACACACACACCUACAGCAUGAAUGUGAGGCCGGUGGCUCUUGGAAACGAGCAUCAGCAGUUCCUGGCUGUAAAUCUCAUGGGUUUCUCAUAAUGAUCUCAGCUGUGGCUAUUUGUGGACAUCUAUGUUGAGAAAUGAUCACAUGCCGGUAUUAUAUGUGCUCAGAUUACACCUCCGUUCUCCCGGAGAGCAGAAGAACACCCGGAAACACCCGGAUCGACCUGCGCUCCCGCGCGCUGUUUCUCAUGAAUGUGAGGCCGGUGGCUCUUGGAAACGAGCAUCAGCAGUUCCUGGCUGUAAAUCUCAUGGGUUUCUCAUAAUGAUCUCAGCUGUGGCUAUUUGUGGACAUCAGCGUGAGUGAAAAUCCUGCCAAAUUCUCUCAAUGGGACCAGACUUUGUUCAUCCAUCCACUGUGUGAGUGUUUUCAUAUCACAUUAUUCUGCAUUAAACCUCCAAAUCUAAAGAGUGAGAUUCUUAUCACUGUCAAAUCACGUUGGUUCAUCCACAUUAUAUUUUUUAGGCUUUUGUCAAGAGAGUAGAUAUUCAGAUUUUGUCUUUAUAUUUAUGCAUUUAGCAGAUGCUUUUAUCUAAAGUGAUUUACAAAUAAGGAAUACAACAACCGUUUCAUCUUGCAUCAAUAAACACAAGAAGUGCUCCGAGUGUGUGUUCACGGUGUGUGUGUGUGUCACUGCUGUGUGUGUGUGUGUGUGUGUGUGUGUGUGUGUGUGUGUGUGUGUCUCUNUGUNUGUGUGUGUGUGUGUGUGU
rnacentral:lncRNA from 1 species